UGUCACUUAAACGGGUUACAUAUGCAGUUACAAGGAGGGAAAACAGUCGUGGAUAUGGUGGAAAAACUUGAGGCCUUUAUUAUUAGGAAGCUUGAGGUUUUCGAUUUGGACAUGUAAUCUGAAAGAGUACUGCAUUUCAGCACACUGAAGAAACGACAGGCAGAGGGACCAGGCCACAGCGUUGUCACAGAGGUGAUGGAAUAUUUCAUCAAGCAGCUGAGGGACAACUUAUCCACCAGAUUUGAAGACUACAACAUGCCCAAGGAUAUCAUUGCGUUUCUAAAAUCGCUACUGAUCUCAUGCGACAUCCACAAGAUCGUGUCCGAGGGGAAAUUCAACUUUUCCCGUUGAGAGCAGGGCAAGCAGGCUCUCACGACACAGAUAUUCAGACACAGACAUUGACUUUUUUUCUUUAAAUUAUUGUUUUAUGUAAGAUGCUACAUUUUUGGCCAGUUGCAAUUGUAAGUGGGCCUAAUAAAAAAAAUCAAUUUCUAAUAGGACAUAUAUUUUUUUGUGAAAGAUGCUGUUCAGCCUCAUAGCCGACCCCCGUCAGUUACAUUAUUUUAUAUUUUUAUUUUAUUUUUUUUAUUUCACCUUUAUUUAACCAGGUAGGCUAGUUGAGAACAAGUUCUCAUUUGCAACUGCGACCUGGCCAAGAUAAAGCAUAGCAGUGUGAACAGACAACACAGAGUUACACAUGGAGUAAAC